rnacentral:rRNA from 1 species
AUGAACGCUGGCGGCGUGGAUAAGGCAUGCAAGUCAAGGGGGUUUCCGUAGCAAUACGUAAACAACCGGCGAACGAGUUAGUAAUACCUUGGUACGUACCCCGAAGUCUGGCAUAGCUCACCGAAAGGUGGGGUAAUUCCAGAUAGUAUGGAAACAUUAAAGAAGCAAUUCGCUUCGGGAGCGGCCUGGGUCCUAUCAGCUUGUUGGUGAGGUAACGGCUCACCAAGGCUAUGACGGGUAGGGGGUGUGAGAGCACGGCCCCCAACGAGGAUACUGCGACACGGAUCCUACACCUACGGGUGGCAGCAGUCGAGAAUAUUCGACAAUGGGCGAAAGCCUGAUCGAGCGACGCCGCGUGCAGGAAGAAGGCCUUCGGGUUGUAAACUGCUUUUGCGUGGGAAAAACCGCCGUUUGGCGGACUGAUUGUACCACGAGAAUAAGGGGUUGCUAACUCUGU